GACGAACGCUGGCGGCGUGCCUAAUACAUGCAAGUAGAACGCACAGUUUAUACCGUAGCUUGCUACACCAUAGACUGUGAGUUGCGAACGGGUGAGUAACGCGUAGGUAACCUGCCUGGUAGCGGGGGAUAACUAUUGGAAACGAUAGCUAAUACCGCAUAAUAUUGAUUAUUGCAUGAUAAUUGAUUGAAAGAUGCUAUUGCAUCACUACCAGAUGGGCCUGCGUUGUAUUAGCUAGUAGGUGAGGUAACGGCUCACCUAGGCGACGAUACAUAGCCGACCUGAGAGGGUGAUCGGCCACACUGGGACUGAGACACGGCCCAGACUCCUACGGGAGGCAGCAGUAGGGAAUCUUCGGCAAUGGACGAAAGUCUGACCGAGCAACGCCGCGUGAGUGAAGAAGGUUUUCGGAUCGUAAAGCUCUGUUGUAAGAGAAGAACGGGUGUGAGAGUGGAAAGUUCACACUGUGACGGUAUCUUACCAGAAAGGGACGGCUAACUACGUG
rnacentral:rRNA from 1 species